rnacentral:rRNA from 1 species
UACGUAGGGUGCGAGCGUUGUCCGGAAUUACUGGGCGUAAAGAGCUCGUAGGUGGUUUGUCGCGUCGUGUGUGAAAUUCCGGGGCUUAACUUCGGGGUUGCAUACGAUACGGGCAUAACUUGAGUGCUGUAGGGGAGACUGGAAUUCCUGGUGUAGCGGUGAAAUGCGCAGAUAUCAGGAGGAACACCGAUGGCGAAGGCAGGUCUCUGGGCAGUAACUGACGCUGAGGAGCGAAAGCAUGGGGAGCGAACAGGAUUAGAUACCCCCGUAGUCC